rnacentral:rRNA from 1 species
CAGCCGCCGCGGGAAAACGUAGGGUGCAAGCGUUAAUCGGAAUUACUGGGCGUAAAGCGUGCGCAGGCGGUUUGUUAAGACAGAUGUGAAAUCCCCGGGCUCAUCCUGGGGGCUGCGUUUGAUACUUGAUUGCUAGAGUGGGGAGGAGGGUCGUGGAAUUCCCAGUGUAGAGGUGAAAUUCGUAGAUAUUCGGAAGAACACCAGUGGCGAAGGCGGCUCACUGGCUCAUUCUAGACGCUGAGGUGCGAAAGCGUGGGGAGCAAACAGGAUUAGAUACCCCCGUAGUCCCUGUCUCUUAUAC